GAUGAAGAACGCAGCGAAAUGCGAUAACUAAUGUGAAUUGCAGAAUUCAGUGAAUCAUCGAGUCUUUGAACGCACAUUGCGCCCUCUGGUAUUCCGGAGGGCAUGCCUGUCCGAGCGUCAUUGCUGCCCUCCAGCCCGGCUGGUGUGUUGGGCCCCGCCCCCCUUCCCGGGGGGGCGGGCCCGAAAGGCAGCGGCGGCACCGCGUCCGGUCCUCGAGCGUAUGGGGCUUUGUCACCCGCUCUUGCAGGCCCGGCCGGCGCCAGCCGACCCCCUCAAUCUAUUUUUUCAGGUUGACCUCGGAUCAGGUAGGGAUACCCGCUGAACUUAAGCAUAUCAAUAAGCGGAGGA
rnacentral:misc_RNA from 1 species